rnacentral:tRNA from 1 species
UUAAAAGUUAUAAUAAUUAUUUAUUUACAAUAAAUAAAUCCUAUAAUAAAUUAGGGCUUUUAAU